UCAGGAAUCUAGAACCAACCUUAGGUCAUAAUGAAGAAAGGAAGAAACAACGCCUGUUGCCCAACUGUGAGUAUGCAAUGAUACUGAAGAACACCAUCAUUUAUAAUGAGUCAGCACAUGAACUUCCUGGAGCUCUCAGGGGAAGUAGAAAAGUGAAUCCAGCCUGACCCCCAAGAUUUUUGACAACCUGUCAGCGUCACUUCUUGCUCAACCAAACCUAAUACACCACCCUCUUUCCCUGGCCUUUUGCACAUCAAGUGAUCUUCUGGGUUCCAGAGUUAGCUGGUGGCAGAGGCAGGCCUAGAACCCAAGUCUUCUAACUCCCAACCCUGUGCUCUUUCCAAUACGCUACUGCCUGAUAUACAGCAAGCCACCACUAACUGGAUACUUACUCAGAGCCAGGGUUAGCAGUGAAUGCUUUACAUGUAUUAUUUCAUUUAAUCCUCAGAAUUACCAACCUAUAAGGUAAAUAAGGAAACAGAGGCUCAGGAAGAUGAAGCAACUUCUCCAAGGCCCACUGCAGAAUCUUCUUGGGCCAUUACUCCCUCGGAGAGAAGCAAAUCCUUCAUAGGGAAUGCUGGAUGUGCCUGUGACAAACUAUUAACACAAGAAAACAGAAGGAUAUGGUGAAACCAAGAGACUAGCUGCUAAGAAAUACAUGGGAUGUUGCCCUGGGAUCUCUUCUUGAAGGGACCAACUGCCCUGAAGCCAGGUGUUUUUCCUGGGAUUCUUGGACUGGAGUUGUCACUCAGGUCGAUUUCAGCUGUGCCUGCGAUGACCAGUUCCAGUUCUCUUGCAUCAAAAACAGACACCAGCCUGGCAUCCACCACCUGUGGAAUAAAAAGAAUGCAGGGCAUGGCUUAUGAAUCAGGAGAAAUCGCAGCUAUAAACACAGAACUGGGGUGCAAAGAGUGGCUGCCACUUGCCCAGUCAUCCAUGAUUAAUGCCAGAGCAGGAACUGGAACUCAG